rnacentral:rRNA from 1 species
UACGGAAGGCAGCAGUGGGGAAUAUUGCACAAUGGGCGAAAGCCUGAUGCAGCUAUGCCGCGUGUAUGAAGAAGGCCUUAGGGUUGUAAAGUACUUUCAUCGGGGAGGAAAAACAAAACUAAUAAUUUUAUUUCUUGACGUUACCCGAAAAAGAAGCACCGGCUAACUCCGUGCCAGCAGCCGCGGUAAUACGGAGGGUGCUAGCGUUAAUCAGAAUUACUGGGCGUAAAGAGCACGUAGGUGGUUUUUUUAAGUCAGAUGUGAAAUCCCUGGGCUUAACCUGGAACUGCAUUUUGAAACUGAAAUACUAGAGUAUCGUAGAGGGAGGUAGAAUUCUAGGUGUAGCGGUGAAAUGCGUAGAUAUCUGGAGGAAUACCUGUGGCGAAAGCGACCUCCUAACGAAUACUGCAACUGAGUGCGAAAGCGU